UACGAAGGGGGCUAGCGUUGUUCGGAUUAACUGGGCGUAAAGGGUGCGUAGGCGGGGUUUUAAGUCAGGGGUGAAAGCCCAGAGCUCAACUCUGGAAUUGCCUUUGAGACUGAGUGGCUUGAGUACGAGAGAGGUGAGUGGAAUUCCCAGUGUAGAGGUGAAAUUCGUAGAUAUUGGGAAGAACACCGGUGGCGAAAGCGGCUCACUGGACCACAACUGACGCUGAGGCGCGAAAGCUAGGGGAGCAAACAGG
rnacentral:rRNA from 1 species